rnacentral:rRNA from 1 species
UGGGGGAUAUUGCACAAUGGGGGAAACCCUGAUGCAGCAACGCCGCGUGAGGGAAGAAGGUUUUCGGAUUGUAAACCUCUGUCCUCAGUGAAGAUAAUGACGGUAGCUGAGGAGGAAGCUCCGGCUAACUACGUGCCAGCAGCCGCGGUAAUACGUAGGGAGCGAGCGUUGUCCGGAAUUACUGGGUGUAAAGGGUGCGUAGGCGGAUACGCAAGUCAGUAGUGAAAACCAUGGGCUUAACCCAUGACGUGCUAUUGAAACUGUGUAUCUUGAGUGAAGUAGAGGCAGGCGGAAUUCCCGGUGUAGCGGUGAAAUGCGUAGAGAUCGGGAGGAACACCAGUGGCGAAGGCGGCCUGCUGGGCUUUAACUGACGCUGAGGCACGAAAGUGUGGGUAGCAAACAGG